CCCACCUCCUGAUAUCUUAUUGCAUGAGACAAACAUGAAACAAAUAUUUGUUUAAGCUACUGUUAGGUUUUUCUCUUACUUGAGACUAACCACAUUCCCAACUGAUAUCUUCAAUUUCUUUACAUCUCUUGUGUACAUCUUUUGUGGUAAAUGCUUCAUUCUAAGGCUUGUUUCCCUUUGUAGACACAAACUGGCUUCCAGCAGCCUCAGAAGCCUCCUGCUUCCUCGCUUGCAUCCUACAGGAGAGAGUCAUCUUUAUCCUAGAAUUCCCUGGUCCUGGUUCUGAAAAUCCUGCUGGCAUCUACUGCUGGAGUCUGUGGCUAGAGAACGCACGCAUCCCAACAGACCCAUGACAGGUGCCAACUGUGCAGCCUCCCUUCAGGUACCGUUAUCGUAAGCGCCUACAUUGGUUGAGUUGCUCACAUUCUUCUUGCUCCGAGGGAAGACUCUUUCCUUACCUUGCACACCUCUCUCUCCUCUCUCUCUCUGUCUCGCUCCCUUGCUCCCUCUCUCUGUCCCUCCUGCUCUAUGUCACUCUAAGACUCCCUGAAUAUUUUGGCCUGUGCUGCACACUGUGGAGAGAAAAGCAUCCUAUGAACCGUCAUACACUCAGACUGGUGCUGAUGAUAUGCUCUGUCAAUUCCUUUGUGAUACUGCUCUUGGAACCCAGCUGUCACACCGUGAGGAAGCCCAAGCCACCCUGUGGAGAGGCACAUGUGGAGAGGAGCAGCAUACAGCACCAACUUGAAAGCCAUGGGACACAGGUUCGAGCCCUGGUCCGGGAAGAUCCCACAUGCCAUGGAGCAGCUAAGCCCGUGUGCCACAACUACUGAGCCUGCGCUCUAGAGCCUGCGAGCUACAACUACUGAGCCCGCAUGCCACAACUACUGAAGCCCGCGUGCCUAGAGCCCGUGCUCUGCAACAAAGAGAAGCCAGCACAAUGAGAAGCCCGCACACCGCAUCAAAGAGUAGCCCCCGCUCGCUGCAACUAGAGAAAGCCUGUGUGCAGCCAAAAAUAAAUAAAUAUAAAUAAAAAUUUUUUAAGAAAUAAAGAAAAGGUCAGCUUGCCAAGGUCCAGUUUGAGUUUCACCCUGAAGCAGUAGGGAGCCAUAGGAGGGUUUGGAGCAGGGGAGUGACAGUUUUGUGUUUUAGAUAUUCCGGGCUACCAUGUGAGAGGGCUGGGAUCCUGCAGGCAGGGAAACCAGGAGGAGUCUCUUGCCCUGCAGUGCUCAUCCUCUGCAUUGUUACCACAAAGCCAUGAGAAUGUUGCUGGACUAAUCCCCCACUUUAUAUUUUUCUUUUCUACAAUGUAAGUGUUUUAAGCUAUAAAUUUCUCCCUAAUCACUGCCUCAGUAUAUCCCACAAGUUUUGAUAUGUUUAGUUUUUAUUAUCACUUCAUUCAGAAUAUUUUCUAAUUUCCCUUGAAAUGUCUCCUCUGACCUAUGGAUUCUUUACGUGUGUUGUAUGAUUUCCAAAUAUUUGAGAUUUUUCUGUGAAUCUCAUCGUUACUCAUUUUCAUUUCCUUCCACCGUGGUCACAGAACAUACUUGGCACAUUCUUUGAAUUUUAUGAAUACCGUUUGAUGGGUGAACAUAUGUUCUAUCAUGGUGAAGGUAGCACAUUUGCUGGAAAAGAAAGUGAACGCUGCAGCUGUUGAGUUUAGUGUUCAUAAAUGUCCGUUACAGUCAGGGUAGUUGACAAUAUUCUUCUGUUCUUCUAUGUAUUUCCUUAUUAUUUAGUCC